UUUGCGCGGGUUUGUUAACUGCAUAUGCAUACGAAACGUUUCUUUCUCUUCACUUGCUGCAAAUUUCGAAGCGAAGAAGAACAAGACUUCAGAGGGCGAAAAAGAACACUAAGACGAAGAUAAUCUCCUCCAUAGUGCCUUUUUUAUCGAUCAAAUCUCAAUUAAGGUAAGUAUUAAACCUUCACUUUUUUUGGAAAAAAAGUUAUUUUUUUUCUGAGCAUGCAAUGUUUGGACAAAAGCGAUAUGAACUUUCGUCUUUUGAUUUUUUUUUAAAAAAAAUUUUAGUAUUUUGUGUAGGAAUUAAUGAUUGUGUAAUCGUUUGUGUUUUCUUCUUUUAUUUGUUGCAGCAUGCCGUCGAGUGUGACUUUAAUUUUUAAUUUUUGGGGUAUAUAGAAGAAAGAAUCUGAAUCGGCAAAAAUGUUAUAUGAAGGUUAUAAUUUUGAGGAAAUUAUUGAUAGCAUAGAGAAUAUGACUUAUGAUGGUUGGAAGUGUGAAUGGCUCCUAAUUCAAUGAAGUUAUUUGAGGCUGCAAAAUCUGAUGCAAUGACUUGCAAUGUCAUCUGGAAUGGGGAAGAUGGAUAUGAGAUUGGGGAGUUUGAGCACUCAGUAC
rnacentral:lncRNA from 1 species